rnacentral:rRNA from 1 species
CACGUAGUUAGCCGGUGCUUAUUCUUCAGGUACCGUCAUUAGUGGAGGAUAUUAGCCCCCACCGUUUCUUCCCUGACAAAAGAGCUUUACAACCCGAAGGCCUUCUUCACUCACGCGGCAUUGCUGGAUCAGGCUUUCGCCCAUUGUCCAAAAUUCCCCACUGCUGCCUCCCGUAGGAGUCUGGACCGUGUCUCAGUUCCAGUGUGGCUGGUCGUCCUCUCAGACCAGCUACUGAUCGUCGCCUUGGUGAGCCUUUACCUCACCAACUAGCUAAUCAGAUAUCGGCCGCUCCAGGAGCACAAGGUCCGAAGAUCCCCUGCUUUCAUCCUUAGAUCGUAUGCGGUAUUAGCGUAACUUUCGCUACGUUAUCCCCCACUCUUGGGUACGUUCCGAUAUAUUACUCACCCGUUCGCCACUCGCCGCCAGGUUGCCCCGCGCUGCCGUUCGACUUGCAUGUGUAAAGCAUGCCGCCAGCGUUCAAUCUGAGCCAGGAUCAAACU